rnacentral:rRNA from 1 species
CCUACGGGAGGCAGCAGUAGGGAAUAUUGCUCAAUGGGGGAAACCCUGAAGCAGCCACGCCGCGUGGAGGAUGAAGGUUUUAGGAUUGUAAACUCCUUUUAUUAGGGAAGAUUGUGACAGUAUCUAACGAAUAAGCACCGGCUAACUCCGUUCCAGAAGCCGCGGUAAUACGGAGGGUGCAAGCGUUACGCGGAAUCACUGGGCGUAAAGCGUACGUAGGCGGGGUAAUAAGUCAGAUGUGAAAUCCUGUAGCUUAACUACAGAACUGCAUUUGAAACUGUUCCUCUGGAGUGUGGGAGAGGUAGGUGGAAUUCUUGGUGUAGGGGUAAAAUCCGUAGAGAUCAAGAGGAAGACCGAUUGCGAAGGCGACCCGCUGGACCAUUACUGACGCUGAUGCACGAAAGCGUGGGGAGCAAACAGGAUUAGAUACCCUUGUAGUC